AUUGAACGCUAGCGGGAUGCUUUACACAUGCAAGUCGAACGGCAGCGCGGACUUCGGUCUGGCGGCGAGUGGCGAACGGGUGAGUAAUGUAUCGGAACGUGCCCAGUAGCGGGGGAUAACUACGCGAAAGCGUAGCUAGUACCGCAUACGCCCUACGGGGGAAAGCAGGGGAUCGUAAGACCUUGCACUAUUGGAGCGGCCGAUAUCGGAUUAGCUAGUUGGUGAGGUAACGGCUCACCAAGGCGACGAUCCGUAGCUGGUUUGAGAGGACGACCAGCCACACUGGGACUGAGACACGGCCCAGACUCCUAUGGGAGGCAGCAGUGGGGAAUUUUGGACAAUGGGGGCAACCCUGAUCCAGCCAUCCCGCGUGUGCGAUGAAGGCCUUCGGGUUGUAAAGCACUUUUGGCAGGAAAGAAACGUCGCGGGCUAAUACCCCGUGGAACUGACGGUACCUGCAGAAUAAGCACCGGCUAACUACGUG
rnacentral:rRNA from 1 species